AGGACGAACGCUGGCGGCGUGCUUAACACAUGCAAGUCGAGCGGAAAGGCCCUUCGGGGUACUCGAGCGGCGAACGGGUGAGUAACACGUGAGUAACCUGCCCCUAGCUCUGGGAUAGCUCCGGGAAACCGGGAUUAAUACCAGAUACGACCACUUUAGACAUCUGUCGUGGUGGAAAGGAUUCCGGCUAGGGAUGGGCUCGCGGCCUAUCAGCUUGUUGGUGGGGUAACGGCCUACCAAGGCGACGACGGGUA
rnacentral:rRNA from 1 species